CAAUGUUUUCCAAACUUCCAGAAGGCCUCUUUCAAUCGCUUGCUAUUUAUUUUACUUCUCUGACAGCUGUCAACUCCCCAUUACUUCCAAGUAUCAUCUACUCAUCUCCUAAUUCAGCAUGAAGUCAAGGAACAAUAAAUUUGAAGAAAAGAUCUUCAACCUUUUUAAAAAAGAUCUUCUUAUCAAGACACUGAAUGGAUGAUUACAUGACUCUUCUAAGUAGCAGACUUCGGUAAAGCCAUUUUCUCUAGCCUAUACCAUUUUCUCAGCCUAUACCAAACUUGAAACAAAGAGCUACAAACAGCUUAGUAAUUUCCAGGCUGGACUUUCCUCUCCAAGAAACCUGCUGAGAUCCCCUCAAAGAGUCCUGGCCUGAGUGUUAACAGUGUGGAAGAGGACAGCCAUAAAUGGUGAUCGUCAU